rnacentral:rRNA from 1 species
GAUGAACGCUAGCGGGAGGCCUAACACAUGCAAGCCGAGCGGUAUUGUUUCUUCGGAAAUGAGAGAGCGGCGUACGGGUGCGUAACACGUGUGCAACCUGCCUUUAUCUGGGGGAUAGCCUUUCGAAAGGAAGAUUAAUACUCCAUAAUAUAUUGAACGGCAUCGUUUAAUAUUGAAAGCUCCGGCGGAUAGAGAUGGGCACGCGCAAGAUUAGCUAGUUGGUGAGGUAACGGCUCACCAAGGCGAUGAUCUUUAGGGGGCCUGAGAGGGUGAUCCCCCACACUGGUACGGGGACACGGACCAGACUCCUACGGGAGGCAGCAGUGAGGAAUAUUGGUCAAUGGGUGCAAGCCUGAACCAGCCAUCCCGCGUGAAGGACGACUGCCCUAUGGGUUGUAAACUUCUUUUGUAUAGGGAUAAACCUACCCUCGGGAGGGUAGCUGAAGGUACUAUACGAAUAAGCACCGGCUAACUCCGUGCCAGCCGCCGCAGUAA